AUUGAACGCUGGCGGCAUGCCUUACACAUGCAAGUCGAACGGCAGCACGGGGGCAACCCUGGUGGCGAGUGGCGAACGGGUGAGUAAUACAUCGGAACGUGUCCUGUAGUGGGGGAUAGCCCGGCGAAAGCCGGAUUAAUACCGCAUACGCUCUACGGAGGAAAGGGGGGGAUCUUAGGACCUCCCGCUACAGGGGCGGCCGAUGGCAGAUUAGCUAGUUGGUGGGGUAAAGGCCUACCAAGGCGACGAUCUGUAGCUGGUCUGAGAGGACGACCAGCCACACUGGGACUGAGACACGGCCCAGACUCCUACGGGAGGCAGCAGUGGGGAAUUUUGGACAAUGGGGGCAACCCUGAUCCAGUAAUGCCGCGUGUGUGAAGAAGGCCUUCGGGUUGUAAAGCACUUUUGUCCGGAAAGAAAACGCCGUGGUUAAUACCCGUGGCGGAUGACGGUACCGGAAGAAUAAGCACCGGCUAACUACGUG
rnacentral:rRNA from 1 species